rnacentral:rRNA from 1 species
CCUACGGGUGGCAGCAGUGAGGAAUAUUGGUCAAUGGGCUUACGCCUGAACCAGCCAAGUCGCGUGAGGGAAGACUGCCCUAUGGGUUGUAAACCUCUUUUGUCAGGGAGCAAUUGGCGCUACGUGUAGCGUUAUCGAGAGUACCUGAAGAAAAAGCAUCGGCUAACUCCGUGCCAGCAGCCGCGGUAAUACGGAGGAUGCGAGCGUUAUCCGGAUUUAUUGGGUUUAAAGGGUGCGUAGGCGGACGCUUAAGUCAGCGGUAAAAUUGCGGGGCUCAACCUCGUCGAGCCGUUGAAACUGGGUGCCUUGAGUGGGCGAGAAGUACGCGGAAUGCGUGGUGUAGCGGUGAAAUGCAUAGAUAUCACGCAGAACUCCGAUUGCGAAGGCAGCGUACCGGCGCCCAACUGACGCUGAAGCACGAAGGCGUGGGUAUCGAACAGGAUUAGAUACCCCUGUAGUC